rfam:Triticum urartu cultivar G1812 contig66677, whole genome shotgun sequence.
GCCUUACUCCCUCCGUCCCAAAAUUCUUAUCUUAGAUUUGUCUAAAUACGGAUGUAUCAAGUCACGUUUUAAUAUUAGGUACAUCUGAAUCUAGAAAAAUCUAAGACAAGAAUUUUGGGACAGAGGGAGUACUUU